CGUGCAAGUUUGAGGCCAUAGCAGAAGUGCUCAUGGCAUUGCCCUGUCAGAUUCUAAUGAAUCUUCUAAAUACCUU
rnacentral:ribozyme from 1 species